rnacentral:rRNA from 1 species
UCCGUAGGUGAACCUGCGGAAGGAUCAUUAGUGAAUAUUAGCGCAUCUACUUGUAGAGCGUGACCUCCACUUUCUAACUCUGUGCAUUUAUUGGCGGAAGGACUUGAGCAAUCGAGCUUCCUUCUGCGGCUCAUUUUAAAACACUAGUUAAAGUAUGUAACGAAAUAUCGAAACAAAAAAAACUUUCAACAACGGAUCUCUUGGCUUGCUCAUCGAUGAAGAACGCAGCGAAAUGUGAUAAGUAAUGUGAAUUGCAGAAUUCAGUGAAUCAUCGAAUCUUUGAACGCACCUUGCGCUCUCUGGUAUUCCGGAGAGCAUGUCUGUUUGAGUGUCAUGAACUCUUCAACCCACCAGUUUCUUGUAGACUGAAUGGUGUUUGGUUUCUGAGCGUUGCUGGUCUUCGGAUCUAGCUCGUUCGUAAUAUAUUAGCAUCUCUAAUUCGAACUCGGAUUGACUCAGUGUAAUAGACUAUUCGCUGAGGACACGCUCUUGUAGUGUGGCCGAAUGAGAUCUCAGUAGAAGCUUCCAACUACUUUAGUCAACUUUAGAUUAGACCUCAGAUCAGGCAGGAUUACCCGCUGAACUUAAGCAUAUCAAUAAGCGGAGGAAAAG